ensembl:lncRNA
UUCAAUAUUUGAGAGUCUUUAUUAGGCAUGAGAUGGGACUUCCAUCUCAGAAGAUUCUCAGUUCAGACGACACAGGGGAAACCAGGGCUGGCCAGGAUGGACAGCUUGCAGACACUGGAGCAAUGAUGAAAUAAAGUCUUUGCCAGGCGGCUCCAGUCUAACGGGCUGCCCAGGCUGGAGGCUGGGGCCUCCCCACUUCUAUCCUGCUUAAAGGAUUCUGGGAGGAGCCACUCAACUUGCUAGAGUUUAGCCUCAUCUUUCAGUCAAUCAAGACAGCGUCUCAGAGGGAACCCAGGACAAGUGGGUGAAGUAGGUUCUUCUUUUUGGUCUGAAAAGAAAAUAAAUAGGUCAAGAGUGAAAGAGCUUCUCUUUGGAUGGAGACCUUAGCAGGAGGCAGAAGGUAACCGUCCAGGGGCCAGGAGAGGUAAGAGACCAGGGAGGGCUCUCCAAGGGGCUACCAUGACAGUGGCUGAGUCUAGACAUCUCUUCGAGGUGCUCUACCCAGAGCCGUGGAGUGGGGGUGGGGGAGAAUGCCCAGGGCGGGAACUCAGAUCUCAAGCAGGUGAGAGGCGGCGGUGGCCCCAGGUACUUGGCUUUAGGAAGAUGGGAAGCAUAUUCCCUUGGCCAGGAGCCCAGCUGGGAGGAUUUUAUUGACUUCUAGGGCUCCUGUGCCCCCUUCCCCAGGCCUGCCUUCACUCCUCAAGGGCUGCUGUAGCAUUCCUCCGACUUCAGUCCUGCGCCUGAGAGGGAAUGCCCCUUCUCCCCCUGAGGACUUGCAGAGAAGGCUCCCUGCCUACCUGGUCCCAUCUCCUCUUGGUGUUCCUGACUGUGUUUGGAACAUAUUCUUUAGGCAGUCAGUACAGGAGGGGGAGACCGCAUGUGCUCUGGGGUCCACCAGGACCCACCUGAAGCCCAGCUUCACUUACCAGUCCUGUGACUUGGGGCUCUGAUUAUGUCUUUGUGUAGUGGCGACAGUAUCACUCAGUUUUCAGGACUGUUGGAAGAUUCACUGAGAUAAGAAUGGCUAAGAAAGGGUUUACAUAGGGAGUUCCCAUUGUGGCUCAGUGGUUAACAAACCCACCUAGCAUCCACGAGGACUUGGGUUCUAUCCCUGGCCUCGCUCAGUGGGUUAAGGAUCCGGCGUUGCUGGGAGCUGUGGUAUAGGCCAGCAGCUACCACUCCGAUUGGACCCCUAGCCUGGGAACCUCCAUAUGCCACGGGUGUGGUCCUAAAAAACAAAAAAUGACCAAAAAAAGAAAAAAGAAAAAAAGGGCUUACACAAGCAAGCAGGUGCCAAAUCAAGGUCAGUUCCUCCCUGUGCCUAGGAAAGAACAAAAUCAAUAGGGGCUGCGCAGAAAUCAGGUGGAUACCACGUUCUUUUCCUACUCCUCCCAGAGUCGGGAGCCCCCAAAGUUCACCUCACCCAACUUCUCCAAGGGCUUUAAAAACCUGAGAAGAGAAUUUCAGAAAGAGGAGGGGAUCUAGGCCACACCUCUGCUCAGAUCCCUGUCACCUUCCUCCUUUCUAGACUCUCCUCAGACUUUCCAGACUUGCCUCCUUCCGCCGUCCCACCCCCAAGCCUGCCUUUGCCAGGUCCCUAACCUUGAACUUGACCGGAGGGGUGGGGAUGGGAGGUCUGCCUCACACAUCCUACUGGAAGCUCCCCAAAGGUAAGGACUCAGCCUCCCUCAAACCUGGGCUCCUUGAGGCCUGUGUCCCUAACCCCCUCUCGCCCUCUUCCCAGCAGGGCUGGCUCCUAGAGGGCCUGAGAUGAGCCAGCUGUUCCUCAGUGCCCCUACUAAGUCCGAUGGCCUCUCUCUCCACAGCUCUCUUUUCCCUUCCUUGUGCCAGAUCCUCAGGCUGUCUGGGAACCCUUCUAGUCCCACGCUGGCUGGAUUUGGGGGAACGACAGAGGAGACUGGUGUCUGUCAGGGGUUGGGAAGGGGUGGAAGAUGAAACUCAGGGCCGGGCCCUCCCCUGGGUGGGGGAGGAGGAGUCCAGAUGGAACAGUCUCCGCCUGCUACACCCUCCCAGCCCCAGACGGAGCCAGCAUCUCCUAGCAACGGUACAGUAGCAGGGGGCUGGGAAGAGGAGAUGCGGACAACGAAGGGGGAUUUCAAAGCAUUUUGUGACACUGACUCCCCUUCUCUAAACAAAAGUUUUUAGAUUUGGGAUCCUCAAGUGCUUAAGGGGCACUUGGACGCCUCACCAGUCUAGCCCAGUCUUAGUUUCCCUAUCCCAACAGUUGGAGUCCAGGAAGCUCAAUAAAGAAAGUGACUAAAGCUUGGUGACAGUUCCUUCCUUACCUCUCAAAUUAGCCAUGUCAAGCCGAGGGUCAAAGAACUGGUACUUCAGCGGUACAGAUCUUGGUUAGACAUUGGGAAGGACUUCCCAAGGCAGGAGUAAGCAAGACCUGGCUGUUCCUGGUUGGAGAGAGAAAAAGUCCAUCAUAGAAACAGGAAACUGGGUGGGGACCUCUUGAAUUUUAUUUCAUUAAUGCUUUCUUAGCCCAAUUAAAUAACACAUAGGGAGUAUUUAGCAGAGCCUCACAUAAAGUAAGCCUUCAUUUUGGCUAUUUUUAAAAAUCAUAUAUUAAUAUGAAUUUUCAUUGGGCGGAUAUAAAGAGGAAAGGCUAAAUCCCUGGAGACCUAUCUCCCAUCCUCCAGGAACCCCAUGGGAAAUUCCAGAUAUGAGAUAGUGCCCUAAGUACAAGAUGGCAGCCAAUUGCCAUGGCAACCACAGCCGAAGGAGUCUGGUUGGUUGUGGGGACGGUGCCGGGAAGCCAGCUGGUGCCAGAUGGACAAACCCAGCAGAAGGUAGCCCCAGCUGGGUGAAGCUCAUGCCCCCUGUGCCCAGGGCUCUCCCUCCAUAUGCCAGCCUCAGCCUGGCCCUUCCCUCCAGGCCUAAAGGCUCCACUGCUGUCUGUGGGGGAUGAGGCCAAAACCAUCCCUCCUCCUGACUCUUGCUUGUACAACAAGGAAUGACUGCUUAGAGACAAAAGACCCUCCUGCUCAAAGUCCCCCUGGCCCAUGGGCCGAGAGAUCUAAAUUGGUCUGAAUUGAGCUCACUCCUGACAAUGCCAAGGAAGCAUAAAAUCAGACUUGGGCGGGUUCCGAGUGGCAGGACUUGGAGGAACCAUUUUGUGUUCAUUCAGCAGAGGGUCACAAUGUCUGGCUAAUGUUCCCUCCGGAGAACAUUGAGAUGUGGGGAGCAGGUCAGGGCAAUGGGGAAAAAUGGAGCUUCACGCCACCCUCCUCUCAUCCC